CCUUCUAGAUUGCAAGUGUUUGUAAGUAUAAGUGAAUCAUCAUUAAUCUCAACAUGGAUUUAUCUUUCUUUUUAGCACCACACCAGGUUUGCAGUAAUGCAGCUGCUUCAAGACAGAAUGGAAACUAUAAAGGUCUUGAUCAGCCUGGCCAUAGAAAGGAAAACCUGUGUGCAAACUUGGCCCUGUCUGUACCUUAUAAAAAUUAAUGCACUCAACUUCUGAAGUGGCAAAUGUAUAAAAUAAAAUGAAACUGGAGUUGUGUGGGUCUUUAUUCUACCCACACUGUCACUCUGAGGAAUGUGCAUUCUUCACACCUCCCAGUCAUCCAUCUUUGGAAAGAAAGACUUCCCCAUGUGGAAAAAUCUACCUGUUGCCUCCAUGAUUUAGGGGGUGUCAGCCUAACUUGAAAUAAUAAAGACCAUUAUGAUGUCAC
rnacentral:lncRNA from 1 species